AUUUUGACUGUGCAAAGGUAGCAUAAUCAUUAGUCUUUUAAUUGGGGACUGGUAUGAAUGGUUUAACGAAGUAUUAACUGUCUCAUUUUAAUAAAUUGAAUUUAACUUUUGAGUCAAAAGGCUUAAAUAAAAUUAGAGGACGAGAAGACCCUAUAGAGCUUUAUAAAUUAAAUAUUAAAUUGGAUUUAGGAGCUUUAUUCUAUUUAAGUAUAAAAUUUAUUUUAUUGGGGUGAUAUGAAGAUUUAAUUAACUCUUUAUAAUAAUUGAACACAAAUAAGUGAAUAGUUGAUCCAUUUUUAGUGAUUAUAAGAUUAAGUUACCUUAGGGAUAACAGCGUAAUGUUUUUUGAGAGUUCUUAUCAACAAGAAAGAUUGCGACCUCGAUGUUGGAUUAAGGAAAAAGUUGGG
rnacentral:rRNA from 1 species